rnacentral:rRNA from 1 species
UACGGGGGGUGCGAGCGUUGUCCGGAAUCACUGGGCGUAAAGGGCGCGUAGGUGGUUUGAUAAGGGUGUGGUGAAAGUCCGGAGCUCAACUCCGGAUCUGCCGUGCCGACUGUCAAACUCGAGGGCUGUAGAGGCAGACGGAAUUCCGGGUGUAGCGGUGGAAUGCGUAGAGAUCCGGAGGAAGACCGGUGGCGAAGGCGGUGAGCUGGGCAGUUGCUGACACUGAGGCGCGACAGCGUGGGGAGCAAACAGG